UUAAGUUAUUAAGGGCGCACGGUGGAUGCCUUGGCACUAGAAGCCGAUGAAGGACGUUACUAACGACGAUAUGCUUUGGGGAGCUGUAAGUAAGCUUUGAUCCAGAGAUUUCCGAAUGGGGAAACCCAGCAUGAGUUAUGUCAUGUUAUCGAUAUGUGAAUACAUAGCAUACCAGAAGGCACACCCGGAGAACUGAAACAUCUUAGUACCCGGAGGAAGAGAAAGAAAAUUCGAUUCCCUUAGUAGCGGCGAGCGAAACGGGAAGAGCCCAAACCAAAAAGCUUGCUUGUUGGGGUUGUAGGACACUCUAUACGGAGUUACAAAGGACGACAUUAGACGAAUCAUCUGGAAAGAUGAAUCAAAGAAGGUAAUAAUCCUGUAGUCGAAAAUGUUGUCUCUCUUGAGUGGAUCCUGAGUACGACGGAGCACGUGAAAUUCCGUCGGAAUCUGGGAGGACCAUCUCCUAAGGCUAAAUACUCUCUAGUGACCGAUAGUGAACCAGUACCGUGAGGGAAAGGUGAAAAGCACCCCGGAAGGGGAGUGAAAUAGAACCUGAAACCGUGUGCUUACAAGUAGUCAGAGCCCGUUAAUGGGUGAUGGCGUGCCUUUUGUAGAAUGAACCGGCGAGUUACGAUUUGAUGCAAGGUUAAGCAGUAAAUGUGGAGCCGUAGCGAAAGCGAGUCUGAAUAGGGCGUUUAGUAUUUGGUCGUAGACCCGAAACCAGGUGAUCUACCCUUGGUCAGGUUGAAGUUCAGGUAACACUGAAUGGAGGACCGAACCGACUUACGUUGAAAAGUGAGCGGAUGAACUGAGGGUAGCGGAGAAAUUCCAAUCGAACCUGGAGAUAGCUGGUUCUCUCCGAAAUAGCUUUAGGGCUAGCCUCAAGUGAUGAUUAUUGGAGGUAGAGCACUGUUUGGACGAGGGGCCCCUCUCGGGUUACCGAAUUCAGACAAACUCCGAAUGCCAAUUAAUUUAACUUGGGAGUCAGAACAUGGGUGAUAAGGUCCGUGUUCGAAAGGGAAACAGCCCAGACCACCAGCUAAGGUCCCAAAAUAUAUGUUAAGUGGAAAAGGAUGUGGCGUUGCCCAGACAACUAGGAUGUUGGCUUAGAAGCAGCCAUCAUUUAAAGAGUGCGUAAUAGCUCACUAGUCGAGUGACACUGCGCCGAAAAUGUACCGGGGCUAAACAUAUUACCGAAGCUGUGGAUUGUCCUUUGGACAAUGGUAGGAGAGCGUUCUAAGGGCGUUGAAGCAUGAUCGUAAGGACAUGUGGAGCGCUUAGAAGUGAGAAUGCCGGUGUGAGUAGCGAAAGACGGGUGAGAAUCCCGUCCACCGAUUGACUAAGGUUUCCAGAGGAAGGCUCGUCCGCUCUGGGUUAGUCGGGUCCUAAGCUGAGGCCGACAGGCGUAGGCGAUGGAUAACAGGUUGAUAUUCCUGUACCACCUAUAAUCGUUUUAAUCGAUGGGGGGACGCAGUAGGAUAGGCGAAGCGUGCGAUUGGAUUGCACGUCUAAGCAGUAAGGCUGAGUAUUAGGCAAAUCCGGUACUCGUUAAGGCUGAGCUGUGAUGGGGAGAAGACAUUGAGUCUUCGAGUCGUUGAUUUCACACUGCCGAGAAAAGCCUCUAGAUAGAAAAUAGGUGCCCGUACCGCAAACCGACACAGGUAGUCAAGAUGAGAAUUCUAAGGUGAGCGAGCGAACUCUCGUUAAGGAACUCGGCAAAAUGACCCCGUAACUUCGGGAGAAGGGGUGCUCUUUAGGGUUAACGCCCAGAAGAGCCGCAGUGAAUAGGCCCAAGCGACUGUUUAUCAAAAACACAGGUCUCUGCUAAACCGUAAGGUGAUGUAUAGGGGCUGACGCCUGCCCGGUGCUGGAAGGUUAAGAGGAGUGGUUAGCUUCUGCGAAGCUACGAAUCGAAGCCCCAGUAAACGGCGGCCGUAACUAUAACGGUCCUAAGGUAGCGAAAUUCCUUGUCGGGUAAGUUCCGACCCGCACGAAAGGCGUAACGAUUUGGGCACUGUCUCAACGAGAGACUCGGUGAAAUCAUAGUACCUGUGAAGAUGCAGGUUACCCGCGACAGGACGGAAAGACCCCGUGGAGCUUUACUGUAGCCUGAUAUUGAAAUUCGGCACAGCUUGUACAGGAUAGGUAGGAGCCUUUGAAACGUGAGCGCUAGCUUACGUGGAGGCGCUGGUGGGAUACUACCCUAGCUGUGUUGGCUUUCUAACCCGCACCACUUAUCGUGGUGGGAGACAGUGUCAAGCGGGCAGUUUGACUGGGGCGGUCGCCUCCUAAAAGGUAACGGAGGCGCUCAAAGGUUCCCUCAGAAUGGUUGGAAAUCAUUCAUAGAGUGUAAAGGCAUAAGGGAGCUUGACUGCGAGACCUACAAGUCGAGCAGGGUCGAAAGACGGACUUAGUGAUCCGGUGGUUCCGCAUGGAAGGGCCAUCGCUCAACGGAUAAAAGCUACCCCGGGGAUAACAGGCUUAUCUCCCCCAAGAGUUCACAUCGACGGGGAGGUUUGGCACCUCGAUGUCGGCUCAUCGCAUCCUGGGGCUGUAGUCGGUCCCAAGGGUUGGGCUGUUCGCCCAUUAAAGCGGUACGCGAGCUGGGUUCAGAACGUCGUGAGACAGUUCGGUCCCUAUCCGUCGUGGGCGUAGGAAAUUUGAGAGGAGCUGUCCUUAGUACGAGAGGACCGGGAUGGACAUACCUCUGGUGUACCAGUUGUCGUGCCAACGGCAUAGCUGGGUAGCUAUGUGUGGACGGGAUAAGUGCUGAAAGCAUCUAAGCAUGAAGCCCCCCUCAAGAUGAGAUUUCCCAACUUCGGUUAUAAGAUCCCUCAAAGAUGAUGAGGUUAAUAGGUUCGAGGUGGAAGCAUGGUGACAUGUGGAGCUGACGAAUACUAAUCGAUCGAAGACUUAAUCAA
rnacentral:rRNA from 4 species